UAACUCAAAAUCCCAAACCUAGACACCCAUUUAAGAUAAUAUACAAGAAAAAAUAAAAAAACCUAGACCUAGACUUGGAGAGAUCAGCCGUUGGACUAAGAGAACAACCCCCAUGGAGAGCUUCUUCUUCAAUCCUUGAACCACUCUAGGCCGCCGAAUACCCCACUGUCACCUAGCCUCACCACCACUCAGCUGCGAAAUUAGGAACAAAGCACACACACAUACUGGAAAAAGGAGAAUGGAAAAAAACUUAAAGGGGAUAUAGUAGAGGAGGGAACAGACAGAGAAAGAGAGGAAAGCUCAUCCUCUCUAUCACUGUCCCUCUCGCCACGAGAACCAGCUAAAAACAACUUCAAAAUAGUAUGAAAAUCCAACUCAAAUCAGCCCUGCCGCAACCCCGAAAACGCAUCAAACUUCACUUCUGGUCAGCUCUUUGAGCUUCGUUGUUCUUCGGGUCAAUUAGAGUUCGAGUUGUCGGCGAGAUUGGAGUCUCUCCGGCGAAGUUCGGCCAUUCAGCCUCCUGUCGAGGUCCUGUUCACGAUCUUGCUGCUCAUGUGCUUCAAAGCAGUCUAAGCAUUUGAAUUUCAAAUUCAAUUAAAGGUAUGGAUUAAUUUGCAACAGCUCGAGCAUGA